rnacentral:rRNA from 1 species
UACAGAGGUGGCAAGCGUUGUUCGGAAUUACUGGGCGUAAAGGGCGCGUAGGCGGUCUGGUCAGUCCCUUGUGAAAUCCCCCCGGCUCAACUGGGGAACUGCACGGGAAACAGCCGGGCUUGAGUUCGGGAGAGGGAAGCGGAAUUCCGGGUGUAGCGGUGAAAUGCGUAGAUAUCCGGAGGAAGCACCGGUGGGCGAAGGCGGACCGUUGCCUAGGACCG